rnacentral:rRNA from 1 species
GCCAACGAUCACACCACGUUGAAAGUACCGCUUCUCGUCCGAUCAGCGAAGUUAAGCAGCGUUGGGUCUGGUCAGUACUUGGAUGGGCGACC